CCCUCUCUAUUCUGUAGGCCCAGUUCACA
rnacentral:piRNA from 1 species